GCCAAGUAGCUGGGUACCACUCUGUUGUUCUCUUGUGAUAGUUUAAGAUUGAGUGAACACAGCUGGUGGUAUCUCAGCUCCUUUGUCA
rnacentral:pre_miRNA from 1 species